rnacentral:rRNA from 1 species
UACGUAGGGGGCAAGCGUUGUCCGGAAUUAUUGGGCGUAAAGCGCGCGCAGGCGGUCAUUUAAGUCUGGUGUUUAAACCUUGGGCUCAACCUGGGGUCGCACUGGAAACUGGGUGACUUGAGUACAGAAGAGGAAAGUGGAAUUACACGUGUAGCGGUGAAAUGCGUAGAUAUAUGGAGGAACACCAGUGGCGAAGGCGACUUUCUGGGCUGUAACUGACGCUGAGGCGCGAAAGCGUGGGGAGCAAACAGG